rnacentral:rRNA from 1 species
GUAGGGGGCAAGCGUUGUCCGGAUUUAUUGGGCGUAAAGGGCUCGUAGGCGGCUUGGCAAGCCGGUCGUGAAAUUCCGGGGCUCAACCCCGGAACGCCGAUCGAAACUGCCAUGGCUUGGGUCCGGUAGAGGAGUGUGGAAUUCCCGGUGUAGCGGUGAAAUGCGCAGAUAUCGGGAGGAGCACCACUAGCGAAGGCAGCACUCUGGGCCGGUACCGACGCUGAGGAGCGAAAGCGUGGGGAGCGAACAGGAUUAGAUACCCUGGUAGUCCACGCCGUAAACGAUGGGCACUAGGUGUGGCGGAUCGAUUAACGUCCGCCGUACCGUAGCUAACGCAUUAAGUGCCCCGCCUGGGGAGUACGGUCGCAAGGCUA